rnacentral:rRNA from 1 species
AGAGUUUGAUCAUGGCUCAGGAUGAACGCUGGCGGCGUGCCUAACACAUGCAAGUCGAACGUGAUAAGUUAGCAAUAACUUUGAAAGUGGCGAACGGGUGAGUAACACGUAGGUAACCUGCCGCGCAGAGGGGGAUAACGACUGGAAACGGUCGCUAACACCGCAUGGUACUGUUGAGGGGGGACCCUUGAUGGUUAAAACCUUGGUGCUGCGCGAGGGGCCUGCGUCCGAUUAGUUAGUUGGUGAGGUAACGGCUCACCAAGACGAUGAUCGGUAGCUAGUCUGAGAGGAUGACUAGCCACACGGGAACUGAGACACGGUCCCGACUCCUACGGGGGGCAGCAGUGAGGAAUAUUGCACAAUGGACGCAAGUCUGAUGCAGCAACGCCGCGUGGAGGAUGAAGGUCUUUGGAUUGUAAACUCCUUUUCUCAGGGAAGAGAAUGGACGGUAUCUGAGGAAUAAGUCACGGCUAACUACGUGCCAGCCGCCGCGGUAAUAC